GCACUGAUGGUCUAGUGGAAUGACACCGCUUUCGUAAAGCGGCUGCGUGAGUUCGAUUCUCACUCGGUGCUC
rnacentral:tRNA from 1 species